CAUUCUGCCCUAGUCUCCAGGCACACCUAGAGCUCUGGAGAUACCUCAGGUCUUAACGAUGGUCCCCUGAAAGAGUGCAUGGAGGACAGCAGUCCUUAGUAGAACGGACUUGCUCAUGAACACGUCAGGCACUUACUGGAACUUCCAGAAAUAUUUGGGGCUUAGACCUGUGUGAACAGAUGAGAUGAGAGUCAGUAAAUCAGGGCUUGUUUCCAUUUGCAUCCAGCUGGGUUCCUAAAGGAAGUUUGGUUUCAUUUAGAAUAGGAAGCAUUUAUCAUGCAAACAAUAUAACAAAUGCCACAUGAACUUGAAUCAUAUGAACUUCAGUUCCACAGAAAAGCCACAUAAAGACAAAUAGCGAGAAAGAAUGGGAGAGAAAAAUAAAAAUGAUGAGGGAGGAAGGAAAGGAAGAUAAAAAGGAAAAAGAUUAAAGAGCCACUGAUGAAGAAAAUGGCGCCAGAGAAGGUAGGUAAAUAAGAAAGGGGGAAUUAGAAAAGAAAAAAGAAAGGGUGAAUUAAUUGAAGAAAGAGAAAAAAGGAAGGCUAAAAUGAAGGAGAGAAGAGACAGGAAAUCAGGGAAAAGCAGAAAGGAAUGAUGAGGGAGAGAAUCUGGUAGUAGAAAAAGAAAAUUCAAACAGGGGAUUGGUUGCAAUACAAUCAUAUCAUUUGAGAACUCAAGAGUAUUUAGCAACGCUCCCUCUACCACACAUCACACCAUCUCCUGAAUUCUAGGUCCCCCCACUUGGUCCUAUUUUUUUCCUCCAUAAUAGUUACCACCUUCUAGUAUGCUCUAUAACCCACCCAGGACUGCUUAUUUUCUCUCCCUGCCUCCUCCCUUGUGCUAAAACAGAAGCUCCACCAGGGAAGGGAUCUUUGUUUUAUUCCUGGACAGAUUCCAAGCUCUAGAAGAGUGAGGAGUACCAGGAGCACAGCAGAUGACUGGUACUGUUGGAAAACUGAAUUCAGCUGCAGUGAUGCUGAGUAAAGGCAGCAUGGUUUGAGGACGGCAGUCACCUGAGUAAACAAGACAUCCAGUUUCCUGGGCCUUCGGCCCCCUUCCUAUGGCCUACCACAACUCACCUGCCCGUCUGCCUGCUCUCCCUGCAGGUCUCCAGAAAAGCAGCUGGGGAUUCACCUGGAUGCUCACAGAGCUCCAAGGAGCUGAAGGCCCUUCUAGACUCUGCACUCAUUUUGCAUCUGCUAAGGAUCCUUUAACUCAUUCCUCCAAGCCUGUAUCAUAUACGGGCAUCCUGCUAUACCCUGGCACAGAAGUAUUCAGGUGAAGAGAGGUCUGGACCAUUGGAACACACUUGUGUGCCCACGACCUUUCUCCGAGCUGGCACCUUGAUUCCAAGGACGUAACCAUACAACACGCCACAACUGCUGCAUUGAUCCCAAGGACAUAUCCUGAUAUCUCUUUCUUUGCUCUCUUCCAUCUGCCAAAGUUUUUGGGCUGAGCUCCAUGGGAGGAAAGAGCCAGUAACAGAAAAUGAUUGGCACCACCUGAGUGAUGGUCACGAUGGCAAAGCUGCCCAAUAAAAGGCCCCGUGGCCGGAUGGGGGCUGGAGCUGUCUCAUCUAGCUCCCUUGCUGACGGCUCCUGCUCAAGUGUUUUUUUCUUUUUCUUUUUUUUUUUUUUUUUUGCCUUCCCCCCACCUUCUCUCUCUGAUCAAUAAAGCAGGUCUU